rnacentral:tRNA from 1 species
GGAAAGGUGGCAGAGUGGUCGAAUGCGCCGGACUCGAAAUUCGGUAUAGCGGUCUCCGCUAUCGUGGGUUCAAAUCCCACCCUUUCCGCCA